GCUAUCUGUUGCCAGCAAGUGAUGUUGGGGACUCAGAUGGAACUGCCGGUGACAAACCGGAGGAAGGUGGGGACGACGUCAAGUCAUCAUGGCCCUUAUGUCCUGGGCUACACACGUGCUACAAUGGCCGGUACAGAGCGCAGCGAAGCCGCGAGGCAAAGCGAAUCGCAAAAAGCCGGUCUCAGUACGGAUUGGAGUCUGAAACCCGACUCCAUGAAGUUGGAAUCGCUAGUAAUCGCGCAUCAGCAUGGCGCGGUGAAUACGUUCCCGGGCCUU
rnacentral:rRNA from 1 species